AUUGAACGCUGGCGGCAGGCUUAACACAUGCAAGUCGAGCGGAGACUUCGGUCUUAGCGGCGAACGGGUGAGUAAUACCUAGGAAUCUGCCCAUUAGCGGGGGACAACGUUUCGAAAGGAACGCUAAUACCGCAUACGCCCUACGGGGAAAGGCAGGGAGUCUUUUGUACCUUGCACUAAUGGAUGAGCCUAGGCCGGAUUAGCUAGUUGGUAGGGUAAAGGCCUACCAAGGCGACGAUCUGUAGCUGGUCUGAGAGGAUGACCAGCCACACUGGAACUGAGACACGGUCCAGACUCCUACGGGAGGCAGCAGUGGGGAAUAUUGGACAAUGGGCGCAAGCCUGAUCCAGCCAUGCCGCGUGUGUGAAGAAGGCCUUCGGUUGU
rnacentral:rRNA from 1 species